rnacentral:rRNA from 1 species
UACAGAGGUGGCAAGCGUUGUUCGGAAUUACUGGGCGUAAAGGGCGCGUAGGCGGCCUUCUAAGUCAGACGUGAGAUCCCCAGGCUUAACUUGGGAACUGCGUCUGAUACUGGGAGGCUUGAGUGCGGGAGAGGGAUGUGGAAUUCCAGGUGUAGCGGUGAAAUGCGUAGAUAUCGUAAGGAAGACCAGUGGCGAAGGCGGGUCUCUAGACAGUUCCUGACGCUGAGGCACGAAGGUCAGGGGAGCAAACGGG